rnacentral:rRNA from 1 species
UACGGGGGGGGCAAGCGUUGUUCGGAAUUACUGGGCGUAAAGGGCUCGUAGGCGGCCAACUAAGUCGGACGUGAAAUCCCCAGGCUCAACCUGGGAACUGCGUCCGAUACUGGAUGGCUUGAAUCCGGGAGAGGGAUGCAGAAUUCCAGGUGUAGCGGUGAAAUGCGUAGAUAUCGGGAGGAACACCAGUGGCGAAGGCGGCGACCUGGGCCAAUACUGACGCUGAGGUGCGAAAGCGUGGGGAGCAAACAGG